CCACAGGCACCCAUACCAGAACUUUAAUUCUCCUUUCAUUUCGCUGCCAGAACUCUGGAAGCUUGAUAACGGCAGCAAAAACAAAAGUAACGGCCGCCUGGCAAGAAACUGGGUCCGAAACCACACAGCUGGCGGCAGCAUCUGGUUUUAGGCCCAGAAAGUCCAAUUUGAUAUCAACGGACCAUAACACAAAAGAUCUUACCCAGCUCAGGAUUUCUCUGCAAGACGAGGAUCCUGUUUUGCAAUUCUUCCUUCAACCCCAGCCAGAGGUAAAGCCCCACCAGGCCGAGCAGCGUGGGCACUAGGGCAAAACACACCAGGGGGAAAACGUCGUUGAUGAUCUUCUGCCACUGCGCCUGCGGUGAGAGAGAAAUCACCUCCACCUCGAACUCAAGCGUAGCAUCACCUGCGACAGAUGCAGUAUUUUGCUGUCAUCCACCAACAAUAACUGUCCUCUUCCCCAACACGAGAACGAGAGGAUCCUUGGACAGCGAGGAGUCGAUCAACUGCCCAUCCAUCAGCUUUCCCUGAGCAACCAGAGAAACAGGAACAGGAGUAAGAAAGAGAAAAAACAAGAUUUCAGAGUUGAUGGCUGUUGUUUUUUCUCGCACCAGAUCAGAGUUGAGACUGUAGCUGGACCACUUCAAAAUGAUAACAGAACCUACAGUCAAGAAAAACAUGUUAAUAAAAUAAAAAAGGACUACUUUUUUAUUACUACUUUAAACCUAAACCUGCCAGGGGUAUGAAUACUUUUGGCUUAGUCAAAGUCCAGACAUUAAUCCAACUGAGAAUAUGGAGCAAUACUUAACUACUGACCUUUAGAGACACUUUACAUCCAGUGUGAUUGAGUUUUAGCUGUUGCAGAGUAGAUUUUUAAUUUUCAGCUCACAGAUGUGCACAGCUGGUAACCCAAACGACCUGGAAAUAUUAUCCAUGCGUCACUUUUUGUAAAAAAAAAAAAAAAUCCUGUGGAAAGUAGACAAAGAAAAUUAUGUAUCCUUUGCCUUUCACUUCACAAAUAUUUGAUAUUUUGUGUUAGUCUAUUAAAUCAAAUCCUACUAAAAUAUAUAGUUUUAUUGCCACAAGCAAUCAUAAGGUUCGGCUGAGUUUGCCUUUUCCUGAAAGUCACAUGAUUUAAAACGGGAUAUUUCUGAAAAUGAACUACACCACCUGCUUCAAAACAAAAAUGAGAAACUGGUGUUUAUGAAGGUCAGUGUUUCAUCAUAGUUAUUUAAAAAAAAUAUUAUUUGCCUGUAAAGUCUACCUAACUUAGAACUUAAUCACAGGAACUUAAUUGGGUUUUGUACAGUUAAACCACAGCGAGAGAUAUUUGUUGCUAGCAGGAAGCAACAUGCAAAGGUUAUUGUUGUAAACACAGCCAUUCAACAGCUCUUCUGGCACAGACUCUGCAAUUCAUUCGUUUGCAAAUGUUUCACCUUCUUAAUAAGAAAUUGCGCUGACUGAAAAAGAUGUAACAAGACUUCUUGGCUUUUCUUGUUUCUGUUAGCAAAUUCUUGGAAAAAAAAUAUGACACCUUUGCAUCUCUUCAACGUUAAACUUUUUAAGAAUCAAAAAAUAUUAUUAAACAUUAAGCAUGGAUUGUUCUCACAGAUUAGAGACAUUCUGGAAACUGCUUAUGAUGACGAGUCCAGUUUUCUUCACCUAUGACUCACAUAUCAAGCAUCUGCACCUUCCUGCAGGAAGCACUUGUUACCAGGUAGCUAAAUGUCAACAAGUAACACAUUAAAGAAUGAAUUACAAUUUAACUAGAAGUCCCUUCAAUGCUUGCAGAUCCAAUACAUUUAUGAACUGCAACAGUAUGAAUGUCCUUCUGAAAGAAGAAAUCCCGAUUAAUGCCACAUAUUUUAGGUUCCCCAUGGCUCAUGUGGUGAUUAUGGAGUUCCUACACAUUCAUACAUUUUAGCUUAAUGUCAUAUUUGACAUCUUCUAGAAUACUGGACCUUCAAAUCUGUGUCAGUUUUACUUUUAGCAGAUCUAAUCCAAAAGACCCUAGAACAUACAACAUUUGUCUCAAGAACUGUUUUUCCUGAUAAAUCGUAAUAGGCAAAAACUUUUGAGUCUGUGCCAGGAGUUUUAGGAAAAAUUGAGUGUUUGAAGCCAAACAUCUAAACAUGCGUAGAGCAUGUUUCAUACAAUUUUUCUUGUUGCAUUUAAGUACCAAGAUGAACCUAAAUAUUAAAGAUUGUGCUUCCACGAAACAAUUUAACAAAAGAAAUGUCCAAGAGUGAUUUCCUUCCUAACAGACAGAGACUUAUUCUUAUUUAAACAUGUCUGACUAACCAGACAACCUGAAAACAGUUUGUGCUGCUGCAAGAUAAGAACUCAUGACUCAUCUGGGUGAUAAAACCUACUUCCCCCAUCUAACCACAGUACUACUCAGAAGUAUGAAGGUAGAGCUACUUGUUUAUAUUUUAGAUCUAUGAUCUGACUUAAUUGCUACAUUUACAUGUGCAUCAGUUAAUAAUAGGAAAUAGAUUAUGCCACCCACAGACCUGCAGCUUUGUCUGUUUUAAACUGUUCAAACCCCCCUUCAUGCAGUUUCUCAUUGUUAAAUUUUGCAAUGCUAUAUUCUAAAGCAAAACUUUAAAUGGCUUUAAGAACAGAGUAAUUCUUGUGUAAUAUUAAUUCUGCAGAUUUGAAACAAAUUAACCGGUCUUCUAAAUUUUUUCACUUAACUUCACAAUUAAAUGAGUCUGCAUCUCACA